rnacentral:siRNA from 1 species
UACAAGUGUAUCCCAGACAUAGC